AUCUGUAUGUCCUUCCCAGUGCAGAUGCCAGUAUAUAAUCACUGGCAGCAUAUGUUCAAUGACAUGAUAAACAUGCUCAAUGUGGGCUUCAGUGCAGCUGUAUAGUGAUAUGCCAUAUCUCCGGGAAAUAUGAGGUACAGCUAAUAUCACCAGUACACAGUCGCAAUAGGUAAACAGAUGCACAACCCAUUGAAGAUGCUGGACCAAGACUAAUGAUAUUCAGGAACUACCAGUCAAAUGUCCUUGUGAACUACAUUUCCCUUUGUAGAAAGUACCACUGUAGCAGAUCAAUCUUGUGAACUAGUUGUAAUCACUCAUAACCUUGAAAGAGGAUAUGAAUUCCAUAAUUCCAUGUAUGUUCUAAGGAUUGAAAUAUUAUUUGCAUAGAUUUUCACAUUGUUUUCCAUUCAGUUAAGUCAGAAGUUAACUAAAUUUGGUUC